rnacentral:lncRNA from 1 species
ACUUUGCUAAAACUUCAACUAAAUAACAUCAAACGCUAAUUAUUGUUUUGGUCUAUUAGCUAAUUAGUAGUGGCUAUACAUUUUCAUAUGCAGACAACUAUCUUGCAAUUCCAAACAGGGCACUUGGACUUGCAAGUGGUGGCCGAAUCAGAGAGUGACAUCUAACUGCAUCAACUACAUUAUUAUUCUUCACCAAUCACAUGAUUCUCCAAAUCCACUUGUAGCCUACCUACUGGCCCAUUUCAUGUGACGUGUUUGGGUUAAAUGUUUUUUCAUUUGAAAGGAGGACCCACAACUCGUGUAAUUUUCCAUCAUCAAAUAAAAUAUCAUCUUAAUCAGUAUCAACUGCCCAACAAGACUUUCCAGAAGGAAAAAGGAGAAAAGGAGAGCAUUAGUUCUUAAAUUGCGAUUAUUUAUAAUAAACCUAUGAUCAUUAUCCGACUAUUAAUGUAUUUAAUUUAAAGAAAACAAAAUCAAAGGACCAAACCUGAAAGUAAAUAAAUAAAUAAUAGAUUUCGAAAUCUGUAACCCCAACUCAUUCAUAAAGAAUGCUGUGUGCCAAUCCUAAAAAAAAAAAAAAAAAAAAAAACACUUUGGCACCACAGAUACAAAACAAAGGUAUUCAUCAAUCAAGCGUUGUGACUCAUGUUGACAUGAGUCACAAAAAAACAAAAAAAAGACGUUGACACGUGUCGGUGGCUACGUGCAUUAAAUAAGAAAAGAAAUUAAAGAAUAUUUUUCUUCGUUCAACUUUCCAAGUGAAUUUGCUAAUUAACAAUCACUACGACUAAUACUUAAUUGCUAAGGAAAGCAAAAUAGUAAUGCGCAGUAUGGCUUACUUACAUACACUAAAUUAUUCUUCACCUCUAUUUUCAGUUCUUGGUACCGUGCCAUGUGAAAAUUAUAUUCCCUAGAAUUUAUAUUCAAAAAUAAAAGAGAAUAGACAAUUAUAUGUAUCUACAGAAUUCAAAUAGAUUUAAAAUCUAAACCGGAAUUCCAAAUUUUAAAACUGUUCCGAUCAAUUAGAUUAAACUCAAUUAAUCAUAUCAGCAAGAUUAAGAAAACCAAAAAAAUUAGACACAAAUAUAAAUCGAUAGAUUUAAUUUAUAAUAUAAUAAUAUGCCAAUCCAUAACCAACUGUGCACUACCAAACAGAUUACAUAUAUAUAUGUAAAAUAUCACUCAUAAUCCUAAAAAUUUUAUAUAUAAAUAUUCUAAACCCAAAAAACCUAGAUCCAAAUCAAACACUCAAUAAUAAAACUCUAAUAAUAAGUAAUAAAUCUGAAUAAUCAAUGACAUUACUUAAACCACCUAUCAUCCCUCAGAUCUUCAAUCCAUAGCCAAAUAGGAGAGCAGCGACCGAUGCAACGCAAGCAGAGGCCACCGAAGGUGAGAUCGCGCCAGCUCCAGAGGCGGGGGCUGGAGCAGGAGCAGACUCCGGAGCGGCAGCGUUAGCAGAGAGAACCGCAAGAAGCAGAGCCAUAACAGCAAUGAGAGAGGCCUUGGAGAGAAAAGCCAUUGUUCUUUGAAUGUCUGGUUAGGGAUUUUUUUAAAUUUGAGAGAAAUGCGCAGACAAACAAAGGAGAGGAUUCUAGAUUGCGACGGGUUUGUUCGUAGAGGCGAAGGCGUACUAGUCAGGGGAUUAUAUAGUGGGAAAGAGUAGGUUUAGGACAAAGUGGUAAAUUUUUACGGUCAGCUGCCCGAAUUUACAGCCUGGCGAAUGGUGUAGUCACAGCCGGUCAUUCAAAAGAAAAUGACAUCCGGAGCAUUCUCUCUCUUGUGGAGUAAUUUUCAGAGAGGGUUUUAUUUUUGUUACGGCGCCGUUUAAUGUCCAAAUUAAGAAUUUAUUCUCUGUUCUACUGGAAGAAGAGAUCAAAAUCACGAGAGAACCAGCGUG